rnacentral:piRNA from 1 species
ACUCAAUCCAGGUCCUCUGCAAGAACAACA